rnacentral:sRNA from 1 species
AAUGGCUGGUGCUCCAGACCCCUCACCUGGAGUUCCAGGAGGGAGAAACCAUCGUGCUGAGGUGCCACAGCUGGAAGGACAAGCCUCUGGUCAAGGUCACAUUCUUCCAGAAUGGAAAAUCCCAGAAAUUCUCCCAUUUGGAUCCCAACUUCUCCAUCCCACAAGCAAACCACAGUCACAGUGGUGAUUACCACUGCACAGGAAACAUAGGCUACACGCUGUUCUCAUCCAAGCCUGUGACCAUCACUGUCCAAGGUAUGGGGAGUCUGCCAAGAUGUAGGGAGGGGAGAAGAGGGGAUGGACAAGGGCUGAGGUCACAUGGGCCUACAUGGAGGUCUGAGAAAGGCCAUAGCAGCAAAAUUGGGCACUGGAGCAAAGAGGAGUGGUGUGGAAGCCUGGCUAAGUAUUGACCAACAAGUAGGGGCCAGAGCUUGGAGCCCUCACAUCCCAGGUAAUAGGUAGUCAGGCUGUUGUUUCACUUUGAAAUGUAGGCCCCAGACUAAAGAUGGCAGCGAAGCAGAGCUCCCUCAU